GGUUCGAAUCCCACCGUGGCCGGGCAUAUUUUUCAAGCUCGCCCGGUGUGGAUAUGCACUCAGAGUAACAUCGCAAACAUAUUAUUCACCUGAGUACACAACACCACCACAGAGAAAAAAAAAUUCAUAUUACUAGAACAUAUUGGUAUUGAAGGAACUAGAUACUGUUCCGAAAUAUCACUUACUCGAACCGUCCUCACCGCGUAGCUCAGUUGGAAGAGCAUUGGGCUAGUAUUCCAAAGGUCGUAGGUUCGAAUCCCACCAUGGCCGGGCAUAUUUUCAAGCUCGCCCGGUGUGGAUAUGCACUCAGAGUAACAUGGCAAACAUAUUAUUCACCUGAGUACGCAACACCAACACAGAGAAAAGAAAAAUUCAUAUUACUAGAAGAUAUUGGUAUUGAAGGAACCAGAUACUGUUCCGAAAUAUCACUUACUCGAACCGUCCUGACUGCGUAGCUCAGUUGGAAGAGCAUUGGGCUAGUAUUCCAAAGGUCGUAGGUUUGAAUCCUACCGUGGCCGGGCAUAUUUUUCAAGGUCGCCCGGUGUGGAUAUGCACGCAGAGUAACAGCGCAAACAUAUUAUUCACCUGAGUACACAACACCAACACAGAAAAAAAAAAUUCAUAUUACUAGAACAUAUUGGUAUUGAAGGAACUAGAUACUGUUCCGAAAUAUCACUUACUCAAACCGUCCUGACCGCGUAGCUCAGUUGGAAGAGCAUUGGGCUGGUAUUCCAAAGGUCGUAGGUUCGAAUCCCACCGUGGCCGGGAAUAUUUUUCAAGCUCGCCCGGUGUGGAUAUGCACUCAGAGUAACAUCGCAAACAUAUUAUUCACCUGAGUACACAACACCAACACAGAGAAAAAAAAGUUCAUAUUACUAGAACAUAUUGGUAUUGAAGGAACUAGAUACUGUUCCGA